rnacentral:rRNA from 1 species
UGUGGUAGUGAAAUCACUGUAGGUAGAAGAUCCAUUCAAAUCUCGGAAGCUAAGCAGGGUCGGGCCUGGUUAGUAUUUGGAUGGGAGACCACCUAGGAAGACUAGGUGCUGUAGGCG